GGGUUCGAUUCUGGCUCAGAUUGAACGCUGGCGGGAUCUUACACAUGCAAGUCGAACGGCAGCCUGGACACGGUCUGGUGGCGAGUGGCGAACGGGUGAGUAAUGUAUCGGAACGUGCCCUGAUAGCGGGGGAUAACUACGCGGCGUAGCUAAUACCGCAUACGCCCUUCGGGGAAAGCGGGGGACCUUCGGGCCUCGCACUAUUAGAGCAGCCGAUAUCAGUUAGCUAGUUGGUGGGGUAACGGCUCACCAAGGCGACGAUCCGUAGCUGGUUUUGAGAGGACGACCAGCCACACUGGGACUGAGACACGGCCCAGACUCACGGGAGGCAGCAGUGGGGAAUUUUGGACAAUGGGGAAACCCUGAUCCAGCCAUCCCGCGUGUGCGAUGAAGGCCUUCGGGUUGUAAACGCUUUUGGCAGGAAAGAAACAGCACGGGAUAAUACCCCGUGCAACUGACAGUACCUGCAGAAUAACUUCAG
rnacentral:misc_RNA from 1 species